rnacentral:rRNA from 1 species
UGGGGAAUCUUGCGCAAUGGGCGAAAGCCUGACGCAGCCAUGCCGCGUGAAUGAUGAGGGUCUUAGGAUUGUAAAAUUCUUUCACCGGGGACGAUAAUGACGGUACCCGGAGAAGAAGCCCCGGCUAACUUCGUGCCAGCAGCCGCGGUAAUACGAAGGGGGCUAGCGUUGCUCGGAAUUACUGGGCGUAAAGGGCGCGUAGGCGGACAUUUAAGUCAGGGGUGAAAUCCCAGAGCUCAACUCUGGAACUGCCUUUGAUACUGGGUGUCUUGAGUGUGAGAGAGGUAUGUGGAACUCCGAGUGUAGAGGUGAAAUUCGUAGAUAUUCGGAAGAACACCAGUGGCGAAGGCGACAUACUGGCUCAUUACUGACGCUGAGGCGCGAAAGCGUGGGGAGCAAACAGGAUUAGAUACCCGCGUAGUCCCUGAGCGGGCUGGCAAGGCGCAU